rnacentral:rRNA from 1 species
AUUGAACGCUGGCAGCAUGCUUUACACAUGCAAGUCGAACGGUAACAGGUUAAGCUGACGAGUGGUGAACGGGUGAGUAAUGCAUCGGAACGUGCCCGAUCGUGGGGGAUAACGCAGCGAAAGCUGCGCUAAUACCGCAUACGACCUGAGGAUGAAAGCGGGGGACCGUAAGGCCUCGCGCGAUCGGAGCGGCCGAUGUCAGAUUAGGUAGUUGGUGGGGUAAAGGCUCACCAAGCCGACGAUCCGUAGCUGGUCUGAGAGGACGACCAGCCACACUGGGACUGAGACACGGCCCAGACUCCUACGGGAGGCAGCAGUGGGGAAUUUUGGACAAUGGGCGCAAGCCUGAUCCAGCAAUGCCGCGUGCAGGAAGAAGGCCUUCGGGUUGUAAACUGCUUUUGUACGGAGCGAAAAGGCUCUCUCUAAUACAGGGGGCUCAUGACGGUACCGUAAGAAUAAGCACCGGCUAACUACGUGCCAGCAGCCGCCGUAA